AAUAUUGCGCAAUGGAGGGAACUCUGACGCAGCAACGCCGCGUGAAGGAUGAAGGUUUUCGGAUUGUAAACUUCUUUGAUCGGGGACGAAAAUGACGGUCCCCGAGGAACAAGCCACGGCUAACUACGUGCCAGCAGCCGCGGUAAUACGUAGGUGGCAAGCGUUGUCCGGAAUUACUGGGUGUAAAGGGCGUGUAGGCGGGGAGACAAGUCGGAUGUGAAAUCCCGAAGCUUAACUUCGGAGCUGCAUCUGAAACUGUUUCUCUUGAGUACUGGAGAGGAAAGUGGAAUUCCUAGUGUAGCGGUGAAAUGCGUAGAGAUUAGGAGGAACACCAGUGGCGAAGGCGGAUUGCUGGGCCUUAACUGACGCUGAGGCGCGAAAGCGUGGGGAGCAAACAGG
rnacentral:rRNA from 1 species